UACGGGGGGAGCAAGCGUUGUUCGGAUUUACUGGGCGUAAAGGGCGCGUAGGCGGCGCAACAAGUCACUUGUGAAAUCUCCGGGCUUAACCCGGAGCGGCCAAGUGAUACUGUCGUGCUAGAGUGCGGAAGGGGCUACUGGAAUUCUCGGUGUAGCGGUGAAAUGCGUAGAUAUCUGGAGGAACACCGGUGGCGAAGGCGGCUCUCUGGGUCGGCCCUGACGCUGAGGCGCGAAAGCGUGGGGAGCGAACGGG
rnacentral:rRNA from 1 species